UACGGAGGGUGCAAGCGUUACUCGGAAUCACUGGGCGUAAAGGACGCGUAGGCGGGAUGGUAAGUCAGAUGUGAAAUCCCACAGCUUAACUGUGGAACUGCAUUUGAAACUGCCAACCUAGAGUUUGGGAGAGGCAGAUGGAAUUGGUGGUGUAGGGGUAAAAUCCGUAGAGAUCACCAGGAAUACCGAUGGCGAAGGCGAUCUGCUGGAACAAUACUGACGCUGAGGCGUGAAAGCGUGGGGAGCAAACAGGAUUAGAUACCCUGGUAGUCCACGCCCUAAACGAUGAAUGCUAGUUGUUGGGGUGCUCGUCAUCCCAGUAAUGCAGCUAACGCAAUAAGCAUUCCGCCUGGGGAGUACGGUCGCAAGAUUAAAACUCAAAGGAAUAGACGGGGACCCGCACAAGCGGUGGAGCAUGUGGUUUAAUUCGAAGAUACGCGAAGAACCUUACCUGGACUUGACAUCCUAAGAACCGAUCAGAGAUGAUUGGGUGCUGCUUUUGUAGAGCUUAGUGACAGGUGCUGCACGGCUGUCGUCAGCUCGUGUCGUGAGAUGUUGGGUUAAGUCCCGCAACGAGCGCAACCCUCGUCCUUAGUUGCCAGCACAUCAAGGUGGGCACUCUAAGGAGACUGCCUGGGUAACCAGGAGGAAGGUGAGGACGACGUC
rnacentral:rRNA from 1 species